rnacentral:rRNA from 1 species
CCUACGGGAGGCAGCAGUGAGGAAUAUUGGUCAAUGGACGAGAGUCUGAACCAGCCAAGUAGCGUGAAGGAUGACUGCCCUAUGGGUUGUAAACUUCUUUUAUAAAGGAAUAAAACGAGGCACGUGUGCCUUUUUGCAUGUACUUUAUGAAUAAGGAUCGGCUAACUCCGUGCCAGCAGCCGCGGUAAUACGGAGGAUCCGAGCGUUAUCCGGAUUUAUUGGGUUUAAAGGGAGCGUAGAUGGGUUGUUAAGUCAGUUGUGAAAGUUUGCGGCUCAACCGUAAAAUUGCAAUUGAUACUGGCAGUCGUGAGUACAGUUGAGGUAGGCGGAAUUCGUGGUGUAGCGGUGAAAUGCUUAGAUAUCACGAAGAACCCCGAUUGCGAAGGCAGCUUACUAACCUGUGACUGACAUUGAUGCUCGAAAGUGUGGGUAUCAAACAGGAUUAGAUACCCUAGUAGUC